rnacentral:rRNA from 1 species
GACGAACGCUGGCGGCGUGCUUAACACAUGCAAGUCGAACGGUAAGGCCCUUCGGGGUACACGAGUGGCGAACGGGUGAGUAACACGUGGGUGAUCUGCCCUGCAAUUCGGGAUAAGCCUGGGAAACUGGGUCUAAUACCGGAUAGGACCAUUGCCUGCAUGGGUGGUGGUGGAAAGCUUUUGCGGUGUGGGAUGGGCCCGCGGCCUAUCAGCUUGUUGGUGGGGUGAUGGCCUACCAAGGCGACGAAGGGUAGCCGGCCUGAGGGGGUGACCGGCCACACUGGGACUGAGAUCCGGCCCAGACUCCUACGGGAGGCAGGAGUUGGGAAUAGUGCACAAUGGGCGCAAGCCUGAUGCAGCGACGCCGCGUGAGGGAUGACGGCCUUCGGGUUGUAAACCGCUUUCAGCACCGACGAAGCGCAAGUGACGGUAGGUGCAGAAGAAGGACCGGCCAACUACGUGCCAGCCGCCGCCGUAA